CUGCAUGGAGAUACCGCAGGUAGCACUCUCCACUAAAUUGGAAACUACUUUGUCUCUUUAUUUAACAAAUAAUUAUGCUUAAAAAUAAAACUUACCCUUUCAAAUUCUAAUUAGGUUACUAGAAGACUACGGGAGGUCGAACAACAGCUGACGUGUAUGGUUGACCAUCCUGGAUUGGAGCCUGUCUGCCUAAAUGUUUACUCUAUUCAGAAUGCCAGCCAAAUAUAUAGAGCCGACUAUGGUCCUCUAAAUUUGAGAAGAAUACACAAUCGCUACAGGUAUCUCUCCUAUCGUUCCUUUGUGAGCUGGUGCUGGGGCCUCCUGGGACGCAGUAUCCGGG